rnacentral:lncRNA from 1 species
AGUGACUCAAAUGUGAUGGGACCACCUUAUAGAGAGCCACACCAGGGUGCCAUAGCACACUGAUUGAGAACCAUGCCGCUGCUUCUGCUGGGAUGCCCUCCAAAUUAUUGGGUGCAGACAUCAGAAUUGUGCCUGUAUCCUCCUGGUGGUAUGUGCUCCUCAGAGGCCUGAUCUACAUAUGUUCACCUCCUAGGGACAAAAACAACCUAAGAGGCCAGGAAGUUUAUUCCUAUGAAAUGUUGCUUCUCCAAAGGCCAUCUCAACUCGAUUACACAUUUUCCA